rnacentral:rRNA from 1 species
GACGAACGCUGGCGGCGUGGAUUAGGCAUGCAAGUCGAACGGUAUAAACCUUUCGGGGUUUAGAGAGUGGCGAACGGGUGAGUAACACGUAGGUAAUCUACCCUCAAAACGGGGACAACCCAGGGAAACUUGGGCUAAUACCGGAUGCGUGCAAACAAUGUUUUGGCUGUUGUAAUUAUUCACGGAAGUGGAUAGUUAUGAGAGUUCAGAGCAUAAUUUGCAUAAAAGGUGGCGUAAGCUGCCGUUUGAGGAUGAGCCUGCGUCCUAUUAGUUAGUUGGUGAGGUAAUGGCUUACCAAGGCGAUGAUAGGUAGGCGGCCUUAACGGGUGGUCGCCCACACUGGGAUUGAGAUACGGCCCAGACUCCUACGGGAGGCAGCAGUCGAGAAUAGUCUACAAUGGACGAAAGUCUGAUAGUGCGACGCCGCGUGAACGAAGAAUCUUCGGGUGUAAAGUUCUUUCUAUGUGAGCAGUUCCUUUUAUAUGAAGAGUAUAGAAGGGGGAUUUAAGCAUAGGAAUAAGCAAC